rnacentral:tRNA from 1 species
UCCGGGGUGGUCCAGCUGGGAAGACGCCGGCUUCUGGUGCCGGAAACCAAGGUUCGAGUCCUUGCCCCGGAG